GGCGCAAUGGCUUAGUAGUAAAGCGCCUGUCUAGUAAACAGGAGAUCCUGGGUUCGAUCCCCAGUGGUGCCU
rnacentral:tRNA from 1 species